rnacentral:rRNA from 1 species
GAUGAACGCUGGCGGCGUGCCUAAUACAUGCAAGUCGAGCGAACAGACGAGGAGCUUGCUCCUCUGACGUUAGCGGCGGACGGGUGAGUAACACGUGGAUAACCUACCUAUAAGACUGGGAUAACUUUGGGAAACCGGAGCUAAUACCGGAUAAUAUAUUGAACCGCAUGGUUCAAUAGUGAAAGACGGUUUUGCUGUCACUUAUAGAUGGAUCCGCGCCGCAUUAGCUAGUUGGUAAGGUAACGGCUUACCAAGGCGACGAUGCGUAGCCGACCUGAGAGGGUGAUCGGUCACACUGGAACUGAGACACGGUCCAGACUCCUACGGGAGGCAGCAGUAGGGAAUCUUCCGCAAUGGGCGAAAGCCUGACGGAGCAACGCCGCGUGAGUGAUGAAGGUCUUCGGAUCGUAAAACUCUGUUAUUAGGGAAGAACAAAUGUGUAAGUAACUAUGCACGUCUUGACGGUACCUAAUCAGAAAGCCACGGCUAACUACGUG